GAUAAACGCUGGCGGCGUGCCUAACACAUGCAAGUCGAACGUCCUCUCUCGCAAGGGAGAGGGAGUGGCGGACGGGUGAGUAACACGUGGGUCAUCUGCCCCAAAGUGAGGAAUACCGGCGAGAAAUCGCCGACAACACCGCAUACGUUUGCGCAAGCAAACAAAGCUUCCCGCGAGGGAGGCGCUUUGGGAGGAGCCUGCGGCAGAUUAGCUAGUUGGUGGGGUAAGAGCUUACCAAGGCCACGAUCUGUAGCUGGUCUGAGAGGACGAUCAGCCA
rnacentral:rRNA from 1 species